AACUUAAAGGAAUUGACGGGGGCCCGCACAAGCGGAGGAGCAUGUGGUUUAAUUCGAUGAUACGCGAGGAACCUUACCUGGGCUUAAAUGCUUAAUGACGUACUGGGAAACUGGUAUUUCUUCGGACAUUUUGCAAGGUGCUGCAUGGUUGUCGUCAGCUCGUGCCGUGAGGUGUCGGGUUAAGUCCCAUAACGAGCGCAACCCCUAUUGUUAGUUGCCAUCAGGUCAUGCUGGGGACUCUAACAAAACUGCCCGCGUAAGCGUGGAGGAAGGUGGGGAUGACGUCAAAUCAGCACGGCCCUUACGUCCAGGGCUACACACGUGCUACAAUGGCCGGUACAGAGGGCAGCCACUUGGUGACAAGGAGCAAAUCUCAAAAGCCGGUCUCAGUUCGGAUCGGAGUCUGCAACUCGACUCCGUGAAGUUGGAUUCGCUAGUAAUCGUAGAUCAGCAAUGCUACGGUGAAUACGUUCCCGGGCCUU
rnacentral:rRNA from 1 species